GCCAGGCGUGGUGGCAUACACCUGUAAUCCCAGCAGCUUGGGAGGCUGAGACAAGAGGAUCACAAGUUCAAAGUCAGCCUCAGCAAAAGCGAGGUAUUAAGCAACUCAGUGAGACCCAGUCUCUA
rnacentral:sRNA from 1 species